AUCCAGCUGACGAGUCCCAAAUAGGACGAAGUGACUCGCGUCCUAGAU
rfam:Schistosoma rodhaini strain Burundi genome assembly, scaffold: SROB_scaffold0000175